UACGUAGGGGGCAAGCGUUGUCCGGAUUUAUUGGGUGUAAAGCGCGUGUAGGUGGCCAAGUAGGUCCGCUGUGAAAACUUGAGGCUCAACCUCAAGCUGUCGGUGGAAACCCCUUGGCUAGAGUCCGGAAGAGGAGAGUGGAAUUCCUGGUGUAGCGGUGAAAUGCGCAGAUAUCAGGAAGAACACCAAUGGCGAAGGCAGCUCUCUGGGACGGUACUGACACUGAGACGCGAAAGCGUGGGGAGCGAACAGG
rnacentral:rRNA from 1 species